GUAAUAUAUAGUUAACGUGCCUCUUAGCCUGGGAUAGCCACUGGAAACGGUGAUUAAUACUGGAUACUCCUUCUAACUUAAUGUUAGUCGGGAAAGGUUUUUCGCUAAGAGAUCGGACUAUAUUGUAUCAGCUAGUUGGGGAGGUAAUGGCUCACCAAGGCAAUGACACAUAGCGGGUUUGAGAGGAUGAUCCGCCACACUGGUACUGAGACACGGACCAGACUCCUACGGGAGGCAGCAGUGAGGAAUAUUGCACAAUGGGGGAAACCCUGAUGCAGCAACGCCGCGUGGAGGAUGACGCAUUUCGGUGUGUAAACUCCUUUUAUAAGAGAAGAAAAUGACGGUAUCUUAUGAAUAAGUCCCGGCUAACUCCGUGCCAGCAGCCGCGGUAAUACGGAGGGGACAAGCGUUAUUCGGAAUCACUGGGCGUAAAGGACGCGUAGGCGGGUUAUUAAGUCGGGUGUGAAAUCCAAUGGCUCAACCAUUGAACUGCAUUCGAAACUGGUGACCUAGAGUAUGGAAGGGGCAGGUGGAAUUAGUGGUGUAGGGGUAAAAUCCGUAGAUAUCACUAGGAAUACCGAAAGCGAAGGCGACCUGCUGGGACAUUACUGACGCUGAGGCGUGAAAGCGUGGGGAGCAAACAGGAUUAGAUACCCUGGUAGUCCACGCCCUAAACGAUGAAUGCUAGUCGUCGGGGAGCUUGUCUCUUCGGUGAUGCACUUAACAGAUUAAGCAUUCCGCCUGGGGAGUACGGUCGCAAGAUUAAAACUCAAAGGAAUAGACGGGGACCCGCACAAGUGGUGGAGCAUGUGGUUUAAUUCGAAGAUACGCGAAGAACCUUACCUAGCCUUGACAUUGAUUGAAUCUUUCAGAGAUGAGAGAGUGCCUUUCGGGGAACAUGAAAACAGUGCUGCACGGCUGUCGUCAGCUCGUGUCGUGAGAUGUUGGUUAAGUCCCGCACGAGCGC
rnacentral:rRNA from 1 species